ACUGCAUUGCAGCCAGCAGCCAACAACUUGCUCUACUCUAUACAGCACUAUACACCCUAGCUCUUGGUGGCGGUGGAAUCAAGUCGAACGUUUCCGGGUUUGGGUCGGACCAAUUUGACCCAUCAGAUCCUAAGGAAAACAAAUCCAUGAUAUACUUCUUCAACAGGUUCUAUUUCUGCAUAAGCCUGGGUUCUUUGUUUGCAGUGACUGUACUGGUGUAUUUACAAGACAAUGUAGGAAGAGGAUGGGGAUACGGGAUAUCAGCAGGCACGAUGGUCCUGGGCGUGGCUGUAUUGAUUGGUGGAACGACAUUUUAUAGAUUCAAGAAGCCUCAAGGAAGUCCUUUGACUAUCAUAUGGAGAGUUUUGUUCUUGGCUUGGAGGAAGAGAAAGCUUUCCUACCCUUCUGAUCCUGCAUUCUUGAAUGAAUAUCACAAUGCAAAAGUACCACAUACACAUAUGCUCAGGUAAGCAUGAUAUUAAAAGUAAAAGUAACAGCCUAGAGAUGCUUAUCGAACUAAUUUCAAUCACCUAAAUAAGUCUAUUACUCCUAAUCCUAUCUAUUAUCCAUGUAAAACACUGAUAAUUAUGGGAGGGCAUUACUUAACUGAUUAUCUUAUCGAAAACCAAUGGGAGGAUCGCUACUUGCUAGGCAGAUCUGAUCAUACCCAACAGAAUGCACAAAAUAGACAAUUGGCAUCAGAAGUAUGGAAUCUUUAACCUACAUAUAUUCAGAGGCAAUUGCAUCAGUAUGUAGUCAGUGAAAUUUUAACAUGUAAGGCCAGAAUUAAUUACCUGAAUGUAGUUGUUUUAUGGCAAAUUAAGAAUCAUCAUGUAAAAUAAGUAGUAAAAAACAAAUAUUUGAUGUAAAUAGAAGCUAACCAGUACUAGUACUUGUUAACAAACAGGUGUCUUGACAAGGCAGCCAUUAUUGAUGACAGUGCCACGGCAAAUGAAAAUAGCAAGAACCGUUGGAUAGUUUCAACAGUUACAGAAGUUGAAGAAGUGAAAAUGGUGCUUAAACUGAUUCCCAUAUGGUCCACAUGCAUACUUUUUUGGACAGUAUACUCUCA
rnacentral:lncRNA from 1 species